UACGUAGGGCGCAAGCGUUGUCCGGAAUUAUUGGGCGUAAAGAGCUCGUAGGCGGCCAGUUGCGUCUGCUGUGAAAUCCCGGGGCUCAACCCCGGGCGUGCAGUGGAUACGGGCUGGCUAGAGGCAGGCAGGGGAGAACGGAAUUCCCGGUGUAGCGGUGAAAAUGCGCAGAUAUCGGGAGGAACACCGGUGGCGAAGGCGGUUCUCUGGGCCUGUACUGACGCUGAGGAGCGAAAGCGUGGGGAGCGAACAG
rnacentral:rRNA from 1 species